rnacentral:lncRNA from 1 species
UUUACUGAUAAUAAAUCUGAAAAACAAGUAUCUUUAUUUUUUUUAACAAUAGAGCAUGUGAGGCUUUUGAGAACGGUGUUAGUGAAAUCCUUGUUGGUUGUAACCCCCACCCCUCCACCGCCUAAUCCAGUUCCCGUUUAAUUUCUACUCAUUGUUACAGAACCGUCUUCGUUUCCCCCUCCUCGAAGCUUCUUCUACCUCUGCUUCCUCCACCGUCUUUUAGAUAUUAGUUCCCACCGCUUAUCUUAGUUUUCUCCACACCGCCGCUUCAAUCCAUUCUUCCAGUAUAAAAAAAAGCGACCGUCUACCUCUCCAUAACCAGCGAACUCAAUGUCACGUUUUCUGUCUGCUUCCGUGAUCAUGUCUACACGUAUUGCAACAAACACAUAUCUAGAAAUUGGCUAACAGUCGAAGAAGACGAUGAUGUCGGAGAGUAAGCGUUGUUCGCCAAUUUUUCUUUCGUCGCUGUUUCCCUCUUCUUUUCCCUUCUUCAUCGAACCUUUUAGUUUUCUGAUUAACUUCUCCUCUACUGAAACCCUAAUUUUUUUUUUUAUUGUUGAUUUAUGGUACAGAUGCCAGAAUAUAAGAAUGAUGGGGAGGAGUGAGGUCAUGAGGGGAAUCUGAUGGAGCUUAACCUGGAACGACCUGAUUAUGCAUAUACAAAUAUUAGAAGCUAUAUCAUUUCAAGAAGGAGAUAUUGAAAGGAGAAGAAGCGAUCGACUUCAU